rnacentral:rRNA from 1 species
UUCGACCAGAUGCUAAAGGAUCACAAAACAUUGUUGUAUCCAACUGUCGAAGAUGGCCAGAAAAAGCUGGGUAGCACACUGGAAUUGCUGCAAUGGAAGGCAGAAUGCGAUGUGACUGACAACGCAUUUACAAAGUUGCUGAAAAUAGUUAAGAGUCAGCUUCCAAGAAAUAAUGAAUUGCCUGAAAAUACAUACCAAGCAAAGAAGGUUGUCUGCCCUCUAGGCUUGGACGUGCAGAAGAUACAUGCCUGCAUUAAUGACUGCAUCCUCUACCGCGGUGAGAAGUACGAGAAUUUAGAAGCAUGCCCGAUAUGCACUGCAUUACGGUAUAAGAUCAGACGAGACGACCCUGGCGAUGUUGAGGAUGAGGCCCCCAGGAAGAAGGUUCCUGCAAAGGUGAUGUGGUAUGCUCCUAUAAUACCACGGCUAAAACAUUUGUUCAGGAACAAAGAGCAUGCCAAACUGUCGCGAUGGCACAUGGAAGACUGUAAGAAAGACGAGAUGUUGAGACACCCCGCUGAUGGGUCGCAGUGGAGAAAAAUCGAGAGAAAGUUCCCGACCUUU